GACGAACGCUGGCGGCGUGCUUAACACAUGCAAGUCGAACGAUGAAGCUAGAGCUUGCUCUGGUGAAUUAGUGGCGAACGGGUGAGUAACACGUGAGUAACCUGCCCCGAACUCUGGGAUAACUGCUGGAAACGGUAGCUAAUACUGGAUACGACCUACGAAGGCAUCUUCUGUAGGUGGAAAGAAUUUCGGUUCGGGAUGGACUCGCGGCCUAUCAGCUUGUUGGUGGGGUAAUGGCUCACCAAGGCGACGACGGGUAGCCGGCCUGAGGGGGUGACCGGCCGCACUGGGACUGAGACACGGCCCAGACUCCUACGGGAGGCAGCAGUGGGGAAUAUUGCACAAUGGGCGCAAGCCUGAUGCAGCAACGCCGCGUGAGGGAUGACGGCCUUCGGGUUGUAAACCUCUUUUAGUAGGGAAGAAGCGAAAGUGACGGUACCUGCAGAAAAAGCACCGGCUAACUACGUGCCAGCCGCCGCAGUAA
rnacentral:rRNA from 1 species